AUCCUGGCUCAGGAUGAACGCUAGCUACAGGCUUAACACAUGCAAGUCGAGGGAAACGAUAGAGAAAGCUUGCUUUUCUAGGCGUCGACCGGCGCACGGGUGAGUAACGCGUAUCCAACCUGCCCAUCACUUGGGGGAUAACCUUGCGAAAGUAAGACUAAUACCCAAUGACGUCUCUAGAAGACAUCUGAAGGAGAUUAAAGAUUUAUCGGUGAUGGAUGGGGAUGCGUCUGAUUAGCUUGUUGCGGGGUAACGGCCCACCAAGGCGACGAUCAGUAGGGGUUCUGAGAGGAAGGCCCCCCACAUUGGAACUGAGACACGGUCCAAACUCCUACGGGAGGCAGCAGUGAGGAAUAUUGGUCAAUGGACGAGAGUCUGAACCAGCCAAGUAGCGUGCAGGAUGACGGCCCUAUGGGUUGUAAACUGCUUUUAUAAGGGAAUAAAGUGAGUCUCGUGAGACUUUUUGCAUGUACCUUAUGAAUAAGGACCGGCUAAUUCCGUG
rnacentral:rRNA from 1 species